AGAGUUUGAUCCUGGCUCAGGAUGAACGCUGGCGGCGUGCUUAACACAUGCAAGUCGAACGAUGAUGGGAGCUUGCUCCUGGAUUAGUGGCGAACGGGUGAGUAACACGUGAGUAACCUGCCCUUAACUCUGGGAUAAGCCUGGGAAACUGGGUCUAAUACCGGAUAUGACUCCUCAUCGCAUGGUGGGGGGUGGAAAGCUUUAUUGUGGUUUUGGAUGGACUCGCGGCCUAUCAGCUUGUUGGUGAGGUAAUGGCUUACCAAGGCGACGACGGGUAGCCGGCCUGAGAGGGUGACCGGCCACACUGGGACUGAGACACGGCCCAGACUCCUACGGGAGGCAGCAGUGGGGAAUAUUGCACAAUGGGCGCAAGCCUGAUGCAGCGACGCCGCGUGAGGGAUGACGGCCUUCGGGUUGUAAACCUCUUUCAGUAGGGAAGAAGCGAAAGUGACGGUACCUGCAGAAGAAGCGCCGGCUAACUACGUGCCAGCAGCCGCGGUAAUACGUAGGGCGCAAGCGUUAUCCGGAAUUAUUGGGCGUAAAGAGCUCGUAGGCGGUUUGUCGCGUCUGCCGUGAAAGCCCGCGGCUCAACUGCGGAACGGCACUGGAUACUGGCGGGCUGGAGUCUGCGAGGGGUGAGCGGAAUUCCUGGUGUAGCGGUGGAAUGCGUAGAUAUCAGGAAGAACACCGACGGCGAAGGCGGCUCACUGGCGCAGCACUGACCCUGAGGGACGAAAGCGUGGGGAGCAAACAGAAUUAGAUACCCUGGUAGUCC
rnacentral:rRNA from 1 species